AAUAAUUGUUCUAUUAUUUAUCAGCAGUGGAGGAAUCUAACAGUUUUGAACAUAGCCAAUCAAAAUUGAUUUAUGAAUGCUCUAAUCUAUAAAAGGGAAAGGAGUGUACACCUUUGUGCGGAGCACUACCCUAUUUCAACACUACAUGGCUUGCUAUAUAAUAUAGUAUAACACACUCUCCGGUCACCAAUAAAUGAUUUUUUUUAAAUCAACAAGGUCUCCUAAAUGCAACUUUUAACUAUUUACUUGUACUGUAAUGUAUGUACGAAGCCUAGUAACUUUCAAAUUCAGGUCACUGUCCCAUCUUCAUUGCAAUGUCCUCUACACAAAUCUCAAGGCUCUUGGAAAGUUGGAAGGCUAGAAUAUAUUACAUGUGCAAGUGGUUUUGCUUUUUUAUAUUACGAAAAAGUCCAUUUUACUCCCCCAAACAAUCACGUUUGUCCAACUAACCCCCUAGACAAAAACUUGACUCAAUUUACUACCUCCAACUAUUCGAUUCCGGACAUUUUACCCGCUAACCAGUUUUGAAGGUUGCUUUGUUGACGUGGCAGCUGAUGUGGCCUAAUACAUGGCAGUGAGUCAGCAAAAUACUUUUUGUAAUUUUCUUGCAGUGUGGAGAGCACAUCUAGGGAAAAUCUGAGAGGAAGGCUUGAGCAAAUUUGACGAAUGCAAGAACCUACAGGGCUAUGCUAUUUUGGCGAAGACGCCGCCUCCCGCCACCAUGACCUUGAACUCCUCAAAGGAGAUGAGUCUGUUGCCAUUCUGGUCGAUGGAGGAAUUUCUUAUGUUGUUUAAUCUCGUCAAUUGCUUGUUGGCUGCUGCCUAUUCUUGCUUGUGAGUUUGUAUGCAUGUGUGUUCAUGUAGGGAUGGGAUUGACUGAUUUGUGCGCAUGAAUCAAUAUGGAAAUUGUGUUGUCAUCCCCAUCAGGCGCGCAAGGAGGGGCUUGGCUGCUGCCUCGCGCUCGGCUGCACGGAGGAGUUGGACUGAUCUAGGGGUGCUGUUAUUCCUCUUCCUCUCCCUCCCACAGCCUCUCCUCUCUCAUGUCCGGAGGCUGCAUCCAGAUCUAGAGCGUCCGUCGGAGACCUGCGGAAGCAUGAGUCUGAACUCCGAGCGUGGUGUCUCCUUAGGCCAUGGCUCCACCGCCGCGGCUGCCUAGACACCCCUGCUCUUUUCCUCUGAGAUGCGGCCUAGGUGAGAGAGAUGGUGGCGUGAGGGAGAAGGGGGCAGCGCGAAGAGAGAGAGAGAGAGAGAGAGAGAGAGAUGGUGUGGCCUGUAUACGUGGCAAAACAGCUCUAUAUAGGAAAAAACAAUUGUCCACGUCGGUAAAAUCACUGGGUAAAACCGGGUCAGGGGUAAAAUGUCUGGUAUUGAAUAGUUGAAGGUAGUAAAUCGAGUCAAGUUUUUGUCUAGGGGGUUAGUUGGACAAACGUGAUUGUUGGGGGGAGUAAAAUGGACUUUUUCCUUUAUAUUAUGAAUGCACUUUUCAAGACAAAUCUACACUUCAGUUUCAUAUGUCCUAUUUAGAUGUUGGUAAAGAUCUUGAUAGCCAAAGCUUAAAAAGCUUGAAUCGCAUGCAUCCCAUUUUUGACUAGAGGGUGUAUGAGACUAGAUGGGAAGUCCACUUUUGGUCCCUCACCUUUAAGUAGAGUUUAAUUUUUACCCUUAACUCCAAAACCGGUCAAAUUUCAUCUCCAAGUAUUGGUAUUGGAUCAAUGUCUGCACAUGAUUCCCUGUUUUGUCUGACAUGGCAGUCUAAUCAUCUGUCCAACUGACAUAUCAGUCUAUUCAUCCAACCAACUGACAUGGCUUCAAGGAUUCAGCAAAUAAAUAGGAAAUGACCCUUUCUUCCUUUUCCCAUUCUCUCUUGCUCUCUAUCUCUGAGACUCGGCCUUGUGCCUAGCUGCACACCAUGGAUGCAAUGGCAGGCAGGCGCCUGGCUUGCCAAGGAAAUGGCGAGCUCCUAGCGGCCUGCCAAGCGAACGGGUUGUGGAACGAUGACACGGUGCUGCAGUGGAUGUGGUAGUUCGAUCUGACCAAAAGGGAGGCUGCUCUCUCACAGAUUGUGGCGAGCGGGUGAAGAUGACUACCGUCCUAACCCGAUCUAGCAGCAAACCACCGCCGCCCCAGUCCGACCUCACUGUGCAUGCUUCAUCUAUACGGAUUGCUGAUUCAAUCACUCCUCUUCUAUUUGAUUCAUCUGCGCAUGCGUGGUGAUAAUGUUGUCUUGCUGCAAAGGAUGGGUAAACACGCAUGUGGCUAGCAGUUGUUAGUGUCAGCCGGUGGCAAAGCUCGGGGCCUGCCUCUGGGCAAGCUUGAUCAUAGAGGGAGGGUGGGGGUAUCGUAUGGUUGGGAAGAAGGGGAG